GAUGAACGCUGGCGGCGUGCUUAACACAUGCAAGUCGAACGGAAAGGCUCCUGCUUGCAGGGGUACUCGAGUGGCGAACGGGUGAGUAACACGUGGGUGAUCUGCCCUGCACUUCGGGAUAAGCCUGGGAAACUGGGUCGAAUAUCGGGUAGGACGAUGGUUUGGAUGCCAUUGUGGAAAGUUUGUCGUUAUGGCAUGAGCUCGCGGCCUAUCAGCGUGUUGGUGGGGUAAUGGCCUACCAAGGCGUCGGCGGGUAGCCGGCCUGGGAGGGUGUACGGCCCCAUUGGCACUGGGGUACGGCCCAUACUCCUACGGGAGGCAUCAGUGGGGGAUAUUGCACACUGGGCGGAAGCCUGAUGCAGCGACGCCGCGUGGGGGAUGACGGCCUGCGGGUUGUAAACUCCUUUCGCUAGGGACGAAGCGCAAGUGACGGUACCUGGAGAAGAAGCACCGGCUAACUACGUG
rnacentral:rRNA from 1 species